rnacentral:lncRNA from 1 species
UGGCAGCUGAAGGACAGAAAUAAGACUGCCUGACUACAUUUCCCCAGUGCCACCAACUGGGAGAUAAGCUGACUAACUUUUUGAAAGCCCAGCCCAUUUCAUUCACAGCAGGAUGGCAGG